UACGAAGGGGGCGAGCGUUGUUCGGAAUCACUGGGCGUAAAGCGUGCGUAGGCGGCGAUAAAAGUUAGAAGUGAAAGCCCAGGGCUCAACCUUGGAAUUGCUUUUAAAACUAGAUUGCUCGAAUCUCGGAGAGGAUAGCGGAAUUGUCAGUGUAGCAGUGAAAUGCGUAGAUAUUGACAGGAACACCAGUGGCGUAAGCGGCUAUCUGGACGAGUAUUGACGCUGAGGCACGAAAGCGUGGGGAGCAAACAGG
rnacentral:rRNA from 1 species